rnacentral:rRNA from 1 species
UACGUAGGUGGCAAGCGUUGUCCGGAAUUAUUGGGCGUAAAGAGCUCGUAGGUGGUUUGUCGCGUUGUUCGUGAAAACUCACAACUCAAUUGUGGGCGUGCGGGCGAUACGGGCAGACUGGAGUACUGCAGGGGAGACUGGAAUUCCUGGUGUAGCGGUGGAAUGCGCAGAUAUCAGGAGGAACACCGGUGGCGAAGGCGGGUCUCUGGGCAGUAACUGACGCUGAGGAGCGAAAGCGUGGGGAGCGAACAGG